UGGGGAAUUUUGGACAAUGGGCGAAAGCCUGAUCCAGCAAUGCCGCGUGUGUGAAGAAGGCCUUCGGGUUGUAAAGCACUUUUGUCCGGAAAGAAAUCCUUGGCUCUAAUACAGUCGGGGGAUGACGGUACCGGAAGAAUAAGCACCGGCUAACUACGUGCCAGCAGCCGCGGUAAUACGUAGGGUGCAAGCGUUAAUCGGAAUUACUGGGCGUAAGCGUGCGCAGGCGGUUUGCUAAGACCGAUGUGAAAUCCCCGGGCUCAACCUGGGAACUGCAUUGGUGACUGGCAGGCUAGAGUAUGGCAGAGGGGGGUAGAAUUCCACGUGUAGCAGUGAAAUGCGUAGAGAUGUGGAGGAAUACCGAUGGCGAAGGCAGCCCCCUGGGCCAAUACUGACGCUCAUGCACGAAAGCGUGGAGAGCAAACAGGAUUAGAUACCCUGGUAGUCCACGCCCUAAACGAUGUCAACUAGUUGUUGGGGCAUUCAUUUUCCUUAGUAACGUAGCUAACGCGUGAAGUUGACCGCCUGGGGAGUACGGUCGCAAGAUUAAAACUCAAAGGAAUUGACGGGGUCAUAGCUGUUUCC
rnacentral:rRNA from 1 species